GAGACAAUAGAAGCAUUGUUAGGCCAGUAUGAUCAGGAGGUUACAGAAAAUACCAUUGGGGCCAUUAAUGAGAGAGAUGAACUUUUGUACCAGUUAGCUGAUUGGUUUUCAGCAGAUCAUUCAGAGUUGGAAGAACUUGAUGUUUCCAUGAAUAAGGAGGAAGAGAAUGAACUAGA